UACGGGGGGAGCAAGCGUUGUUCGGAUUUACUGGGCGUAAAGGGCGCGUAGGCGGCGCAGCAAGUCACUUGUGAAAUCUCCGGGCUUAACCCGGAGCGGCCAAGUGAUACUGUCGUGCUAGAGUGCGGAAGGGGCUACUGGAAUUCUCGGUGUAGCGGUGAAAUGCGUAGAUAUCGAGAGGAACACCUGCGGCGAAGGCGGGUAGCUGGGCCGACACUGACGCUGAUGCGCGAAAGCCAGGGGAGCGAACGGG
rnacentral:rRNA from 1 species